rnacentral:rRNA from 1 species
CCUACGGGGGGCUGCAGUGGGGAAUAUUGGACAAUGGGGGGAACCCUGAUCCAGCCAUGCCGCGUGUGUGAAGAAGGCCCUCGGGUUGUAAAGCACUUUCAGUGAGGAAGAACGCCUGGUGGUUAAUACCCAUCAGGAAAGACAUCACUCACAGAAGAAGCACCGGCUAACUCCGUGCCAGCAGCCGCGGUAAUACGGAGGGUGCGAGCGUUAAUCGGAAUUACUGGGCGUAAAGCGCGCGUAGGUGGCUUGAUAAGCCGGUUGUGAAAGCCCCGGGCUCAACCUGGGAACGGCAUCCGGAACUGUCAAGCUAGAGUGCAGGAGAGGAAGGUAGAAUUCCCGGUGUAGCGGUGAAAUGCGUAGAGAUCGGGAGGAAUACCAGUGGCGAAGGCGGCCUUCUGGACUGACACUGACACUGAGGUGCGAAAGCGUGGGUAGCAAACAGGAUUAGAUACCCCGUAGUC